UCUGCUGACACUCUGAAUAAGUAACAUUCAGUAACUUACAAAGUGGACUCUCAUCACUGGGUGUCAUUUAUAAGAGAAAUACCCUGCUUUGGGCAGUUGGUGUUGUAGCAUCAGAAUGAUAGGGGCAUUUGUUAUUAGACUUUAUUAUUCUUACACUCUGACACAUAACCAUUUGUCCAUCAUUGGAAUAGGCUGUUCUCAUAUAAAUGUGCUCAUAUAAAAAUAUCUUAUCAGGUGGAACUUGUGGAGAGGUACAUGACUACUGAGAGCUACCUAUGAGAGGGAACCUCUGCCCAGUGCCCUAUAAAGCCUCAGAAACUGCAAGGAAAUCCUGAAUUCUCUCACCCAACCCCAUGAACUCAUCAAAAAGAAAGUGAAAGAACAUUUUCCGUGUGGGUGUGUAUGUUGUGCUUCAGUUCACCGGGUGUUAGACCCAGGGGUGCAAACCACUCAGCCUGAUGAACAUCCAUUGGAACCUCAUCAACUACAACCAGGAGACUGGGUUUAUUACUGUAACCAUAUUAGCAAAUCCCCGUUGGAACCAGACCCGGACUGGCAAUCUGUUAGUUCAGGCAAAUGCCAGAGGGGCCGCUUUGUAUUUUGUUUGUGGGCCGUAUCUGAUCCUAAUUAGAACCUGCGCAGC